rnacentral:RNase_P_RNA from 1 species
GGAGUUAGCUAGGUAAUCGCUGCUUUGGCAGAGGAAAGUCCGGGCUCCAUAGGGCAGAGUGCCAGGUAACGCCUGGGGGGCGUGAGCCCACGGCAAGUGCAACAGAAAGAAAACCGCCAAGUUUUCUUGGUAAGGGUGAAACGGUGCGGUAAGAGCGCACCGCGCAGCUGGUAACAGUUGUGGCAAGGUAAACCCCACUCGGAGCAAGACCAAAUAGGAACUCGAUGACUGCGGCCCGCAGGUGAGUUCGGGUAGGUUGCUAUAGGUGUUUGGCGACAGACAUCACAGAUGAAUGAUUAUCCUCGACAGAACCCGGCUUAUUGCUAACUCCCAUU